AGUCCUGCUCACUCAGCUCUCCCAGUGUGCUCACUCAGGUUCAGAAGAGGAGGGUGGAUGAGGAGGGGGGUGACCCUGUUCACCUGCAACAGAGGUUGGACACUGCUGGAUGGAGAGCCUGACCCUGCUUGUUUGUAUGGUGGGUCCUGCUGAGGGCAGCGAGACCUCUGCUGACUCCCAGCCGUCUCUGGCAUCCUGCACCUCGCUUUCUGUCCAGGGAUGCUGUGACUUGGCCAAGCUCAACCUUGGAGUCGUUCCCCGGAGGAGCUUUUCCAGCAUCUUCCCCAAGCGUGUUUGCCACCUUCCAUCCUCUGGUCCUGCUGCAGACUGAAGCAAAGGUUAUCUACUGCAGUUAAUGGUUAAGCAAUUUUUCAUAGUCACAUGGACUACUCGAGUACCGAACCAACAACCCCCCUUCCACACACUCUGAAAUGCCUGAGGACAAGCUCUGAGAAACAUGAGCGGAUGGAAAGUCUUAUCAUAUGGCUGUAGGCAGUAAUCCUCCUUAUUUUCCACACAACAAAGGGGCUGAUCCUGCUCGUGCUGAACACGUGCCAAAUUCCAGAGACGAGUGGCAGGAGUCAGAGUUGCUCAGCACCUUCCAGGAUUAGAGCCUUUGGGACAAGUUCUGGGUUAGUUUGGAUGGAUCCUGUGUGGUGCUGAGAGCUUCCUGGGAGGACCAGACCAAGUGUCCCUUGGCCAUAGGCACAUUUCAGCAGCAGGGGAGCAGCUGGAGCUCUUUAGAAUCAGACAUCAGAUGGAGCAGUCUUCUGCUUUGCCACGGCCUCCUCCAUCCAGAUGGAUGUUCUCCAGGGACAGUUCAGUCUGAAUGAAAGCUCAGAAGAAAAGCAAGGCGUGGGCCUGGUGCACUCAGCACAUCUUUCACCAAAGCUGGUGAUGUUCCUCCAGGAACCAUGGAGAGUCCACCUGCAGCCUACAUCAUCACAGGGCUCACUGAGAUGCUGCACGCUCUCUCCCGUGGCAGUUUGGAAGACAACCAGCCCCUGAUUGCCUGAUGUCACAGCGACCAGCAGAGCAAUUGGCAGAGACUUGGUUUGUACUUUCUCAGCUCCUUCUCGAUUUCUUUGAGGAAUCUGCUGUCCCGACAGCCACAGAAAACCAGUCAUGCAGGUGACCCAUCUCCAGCACCGCACUGACAACAUGUGCCCUUCCCCCAGGAGUCAGCUCCUGUGGGCCAUGAGCUGGGAUAAGAUCCACAGAAGCCUUUUGGCUCUGAACACCCACAUAGGGCAUAGCGCUCCGCAGUGGGCUGUCCCAUGGAUGAACCCACUUCAUGGCUUGGGAGAGCCAAGUGAGGGGCUACAGACAGGAAUGCAGCCAGGUAUCUGGGGAUAAAGCACAGGCACUCAAGGCCAUGUGAGACGCUCAGCAGGACAGAAAAAUCCAUGGGACAAGGGGUUGCAGGACGAUCCAGGGAUGCUCCAGGUAGCUAAAACCUGUCUGAAAUCCCAGCCCUCUGUACCAUUAUCAGUGCUGCUAUUCCUGCCUGGUGAUUUGGUGGAAAGAAACCCCCACGAUUCAAGUUCAAUAAAAAAGAUGAUCAGUAAGUUCCCUGCAACUUUGCAAUCCACUGGAAGGAUUUAUUUACCUCAUCAAGAACAGAGAAGCUAAAGGUAGAGCCCCAGCCACCCUCCCUCAGCUGCUCAUCUUGCCUGACACGACACAGCUGGAAAUUAUUUGGUUCAAACCUCCUCACCUUUAGCUCCUCUGACAGCAGGAAGAACACAAAAGGCAUCUCCAAAGGCUGAUUUGUCUGUGCUAUUCUUAGCCACCUGCCCUGGGAUAAGAUGAAUCAGCUUCUCUGCUGCAUGUUUCCUCUCAGAGGCACGACGCGAGCCUUGGGUGACGCAGGCUCAGACUUGAUAACAUGGAGCUUCAAAUUGAACCUAAUUCAAACUACAAACUCUCACACAGGGACUUCCACAGGGCCAGAAGAAACGCUGGUGUAACAUAAACUGCUUCUCCCGUGUGACUUUGACUCUCUCCUCUGAAAUUGUCUCCUCUGCAUUCAGUGAUUGAAAGGCCCAAAGUAAGUAGUGUAAAUUAGUUUAAAUCAAGGUGAAUAGUGACUUUUAAUUAUUCUAUCUUUAUUCUCCCCCAGUCCUGAGCCCUGGUGCCCUAAUGGCUUUCAGUCUCUGUGUGUAUGCACCUUGAGUUUAAUGCUUAAGGUUUCUGACUACCCCUAAAUCUUAUUUCUAAUACCUUUACACAAGUGCAGAGUUGGUUGAAAUCACCCAAAAAAUGUUAUUUUGGGGGUUGGGUGGGGACUAUGUGUUUCAAAUAUGACUGUAGAGAUCUGUCACUGUGUAGCUAGAAAUUAAGUCGUUUAAAAAGACAUUGAAUAAUAAUUUUAAGUGACGGAGAAGUUGGUUUAAAGGAGUUGGGGAAUGGAACCUGAAUGUAAAGGGAGUGAAAAACUUCAUGAGCCUUAAAAAAACCCACCAAACAGGAGCAAAAAGCAAACAGACAGACCACGGUUUCUCCAAAAAAGGAGAAAAGAACCAAUCCAGAGGUUUGGUCACAGCCUGCAAAAAGUUGGAUAUUAAAAUUAAACCAAUAGAAGCUGGAAAACUUGCUCUGAGGACAAAGAAUGGCCCAGUUCUCCCUUGUGGUUACUCCAAGCAGCAGCAGAAUGUCCAAGCAUGUAAGGGCUAAGCUGCCAGGCAUGCCCAGUGCUCCCACAGCGCUGGGGAUACAGUCCCCCUCCUUGGGUGGCGAAUGCACAGUGAGCACUGAGCACCUGUAAAGCACAAAGAAAACAAGAUACCACUGAGCUGAGCUCCACACACACUGUCACUGUGGCUCAGAGCUCAGCAGGCAAGUCUGGGGGGCCAAAUACUUGCCUUUGUGCAGCCAAGCAGGGGGUUCCCAGCAGCUUUGGUGCAGACACAAACCCAACCACCAUAUGGGCAGGAGCAGGGAGAGCCCAUGGCCAUGGCUUUGCUCAGUUCUGGUGUGUGCAACACCAGUGCCAGGGAGCAGGGAGAGCCCAUGGCUGUGGCUUUGCUUGGUUCUGGUGUGUGCAACACCAGUGCCAGGGAGCAGGGUGAGCCCAUGGCUGUGGCUUUGCUUGGUUCUGGUGUGUGCAACACCAGUGCCAGGGAGCAGGGUGAGCCCAUGGCUGUGGCUUUGCUUGGUUUUGGUGUGUACAACACCAGGGCCAGGGAGCAGAGAGAGCCCAUGGCCAUGGCUUUGCUCAGUUCUGGUGUGUACAACACCAGGGCCAGGGAGCAGG